UGGUAAGAAGAGGACUUAAACCUCUGUGAAUGGGG
rnacentral:tRNA from 1 species